UUGGCAGUCCGGCACAGAAGCGCGCCUGCGCGACUCCGAGGCCCUCCCCCACUUUAUUCUGACCUUCAUCCAGCGGGAGUGCGCUUGCGCGUCAGCUGAAGAUUAGACACUGAUAUGGGAAAAAGGCACGCAAAAGGAUAAAAGAAAGAAGAAAGGAGUACAAAGACUACAGAUGGCAACAUUUUAAAAAGACUUCAUAAAGAAACAGAGCCUGAGACAAGGAUUUGAGUAUAAAUAAUUUAUUGGAGAGGUGAUCCCAGGAGACCUGGAAGCUGAGCUGGGGAAUGAGACAGGGACGUGAAAGAAGCCAAUACAGGAUGUGUUAACAAGCACUGAAGGACACUGGAGCUCCAUCCCACUGGACAAGUCUGGGAGACAGUACAGAAUACCCCUCAGCAUUAUCCCAACCAACAGGCAAGGGAGCUGGGCUCUUAUUUAUCCAUCAGGUCUCCACCUGUCAUUGCCUUAUGGCUGCUUUCAAGGGCAAGAAGUCCCCAGCACUUCUAGCCUGCACUGUGCAUGGCCUAAGCCUACUACCAGCCAGAACACAGAGGGUCAUGGGCCUUCAAUGUAUAACAGUAAUGCUAAGGGGACAAGGGCAGGGCACUGAGAGCACUACAUUGCCUCCCUUCUCACUCUCUCCUUCACAGAGGCAGG